rnacentral:rRNA from 1 species
GACGAACGCUGGCGGCGUGCUUAACACAUGCAAGUCGAACGGAAAGGCCCUGCUUUUGUGGGGUGCUCGAGUGGCGAACGGGUGAGUAACACGUGAGUAACCUGCCCUUGACUUUGGGAUAACUUCAGGAAGCUGGGGCUAAUACCGGAUAGGAGCUCCUGCUGCAUGGUGGGGGUUGGAAAGUUUCGGCGGUUGGGGAUGGACUCGCGGCUUAUCAGCUUGUUGGUGGGGUAGUGGCUUACCAAGGCUUUGACAGGUAGCCGGCCUGAGAGGGUGACCGGCCACAUUGGGACUGAGAUACGGCCCAGACUCCUACGGGAGGCAGCAGUGGGGAAUAUUGCACAAUGGGCGGAAGCCUGAUGCAGCAACGCCGCGUGCGGGAUGACGGCCUUCGGGUUGUAAACCGCUUUCGCCUGUGACGAAGCGUGAGUGACGGUAAUGGGUAAAGAAGCACCGGCUAACUACGUG